rnacentral:misc_RNA from 1 species
GACCCAGUGGUCAUAUUCCUUACCUGGUUGAUUCCAGGGGGGCUCCUGUUGUACCUCAAAUUGGCGGAUCUACUUCAGCAAUACCACCCUCUUUCUCCCAACAAUCAUUCAUUUUAAACAUGGGAAGUGCACCUGUUCCCAACGGAGUUUGGCCAUCACGAAGUGGUCUGGAUCUCGACACUGGCUUAGUACUUGAUCGUGGGAAUAAAGACACCGGAGGUCUGAGGCAGCUUUUUGAUCAAGGACAAGCUAGAACGAUGGAUGAACAGUUCAGGAUCGGCAUGCAACCCUCAACCAGUUUGAGUAUCGGUGGGAAACGCAAAGAACCAGAUGGUGGCUGGGAAUCUUCCCCUUUCAAACAUCAUCCACCACCAUGGAAGUAAACUUUCGAUUUGUUAUCCCAGUCGUUAAAUCAUUUAUCGGCCAGUGUCUUGUAGCAGUAGGUAAAUUAAAGGUAGGAGGAGGGGGGGUCUUAUAUUGAUUUAAACUGGGAUGAAGCAUAAUAUAGUUGAAUAAAGACAUAAUUUCUGAAUGUAAU